rnacentral:lncRNA from 1 species
UUAAAUAUUAAAAAACAUUAAAUUAAUUAUUUGGUCAUUUUUAUUUUAAGUGAUGCAAAUUCCGAUUCUGGAACUUCAAAUAAACGAAAGCGAGUAUCUAAAAAAACCUAUUACUCCCGGGAAAAUCCUAAAUUUGAAUCAAUCACUGCAUCAUGUGUAAUAAUGAUUGCAUUAGACUUGUUACCUCUGUCUUUUGUGGAAGGUGAUGGUUUUUUACAAUUUAUAAAGACAGUUUGUCCAGAAUAUACAAUACCAAGCAGAACAGUGAUUCAAAAUUUCUCAAGUAUUACAUAUGAUUUUGUGAAAAAGGAAAUAGUUUCUGUCUUUAAAAAUUUUCCUUUCAUAUCAAUAACAUCUGACGCUUGGUCAUCCCUUUCAACAAAAUCAUUUUUAACGAUAACUGUUCAUACAAUUGAUGAUUUAUAUAAUUUAAGUUUUUUUACUUUAGACACUUUGGAAAUGCCCGAAAGUCACACAGCGAUUAAUAUACAUGAGCAUUUAUCUUCGCCAUUGAAAGAGUGGAAUAUUUUUGAAAAAAUUGUUGCAGUGGUUCAUGAUAAUGCUGCUAAUAUGGUUGUUGUUAUACGUCUUGAUUCUCCAGGAAAUCCCAAAUUUGCAGAAAGCUUCCGUUGUUUCUCACAUACUUUACGAUGUGCUAUUGCUACAGCUUUGAAAGAAAAAAAUAUAAACGACCGCCUUCAUAAAGUUAGUGCCAUUGUAGGACACUUUAAACACUCUAAUAUUGUAACUGACGCUUUGACAACUGCUCAAAAAGAACUGAAGCAACAUUGAAAUGGUAUUGAAUCAAAGAUCAACAUCAUCUUUGGAAAUUCAAAGAAAAUUAUCUUUGAGAAAGUGUGAUUGGACAUAUUUAGAAAAUAUUAUAAAAAUUUUAAAACCAUUCAAUUUAGCGACAAAUUUAAUGAGUAGUGAAACUUAUUCCACUAUUGCUAUGGUGCGACCAGUUAUACGCUCAAUUAUAUCGAAUUUUUUACAACUCAAUGAACAAGACUCGGAAUCUAUUCAACUACUAAAAGAAACAUUAGAAGAACAACUCCAAACUCGAUUGUUAGAUGAACAAUCGCUAGAAUUGUUUGGGAUUGCGUGUUUCUUGGACCCAAGAUAAUGAUACCAAGAUUUAAAAGAAGAGACAGCAACGUAUCGUUCCAAAAUAGAAGAAAAAGUCUUAGACUUGAUAAGAGAAGAUGACAACCAGGCUGCUAAUCAAUCUUGCUCUAAAAUCAACCAAAGAGAAAAAGAUCUGGACUAUCUUUUUAAUCCUGAUACGCUUUCCCAAAAUUUGAGAGGAAUGUCAGUUUUGAUGGAAAUGAUGAUGACAGAUUUGCAAUCGAAAUUGCCAAUUAUGAAACGGAAGCAGUUAUUCCGAAAACAGACAAUCCUCCUUCUCUUGCUAGACUAGCAAAGAAAUAUUUAUGCAUUCCAUCGAGAAGUACUCCAUCUGAACGUGUUUUAUCAACGGCAGGGAACGUGAUUUCAGCAAAGAGAAGUUGUUUAUCACCACAUGCAGCAAACAUAUUAAUAUUUUUGUAUAAAAAUCGAAGCAUUAUCUUAAAAAACAAAAAAAUUAUC